rnacentral:rRNA from 1 species
UACGAAGGGGGCUAGCGUUGCUCGGAAUUACUGGGCGUAAAGCGCACGUAGGCGGCUUUGUAAGUUAGAGGUGAAAGCCUGGUGCUCAACACCAGAAACUGCCUUUAAGACUGCAUCGCUUGAAUCAUGGAGAGGCGGGUGGAAUUCCGAGUGUAGAGGUGAAAUUCGUAGAUAUUCGGAAGAACACCAGUGGCGAAGGCGGCUCACUGGACUGGUAUUGACGCUGAGGUACGGAAAAGCGAUGGGG